rnacentral:tRNA from 1 species
CCUGGUGGCUUAGAGGUUAAAGCAUCUGCCUAUAAUGCGGGAGACCCAGGUUUGAUCCCUGGGUCAGGA